rnacentral:rRNA from 1 species
UGGGGAAUAUUGCACAAUGGGCGCAAGCCUGAUGCAGCCAUGCCGCGUGUAUGAAGAAGGCCUUGGGUUGUAAAGUACUUUCAGCGGGGAGGAAGGGAGUAAAGUUAAUACCUUUGCUCAUUGACGUUACCCGCAGAAGAAGCACCGGCUAACUCCGUGCCAG